GGCUUCCUUGUCGAGUGGUAAAGACAAUUGCCUUUCACACUGGAGUCCCGGGUUCGAUCUCCGGUCUAGGAGCUA